rnacentral:lncRNA from 1 species
GGCACAGCGGUGUGUUGAUGUCAAGCACGGGCGUGUGACGCGGGGGUAUAGCCGUGUGGAGGAAAAAUAGAGGGUAUAGAGAGGGGAAAGUGGGGAUUAAUGUAAGGGGAAUGGAUUUCAGGGUGAUUUGAGGGUUGGGGAAAUGAGAAUCUUGGGAAUGGUGGCUGGAAUAAGGAUUAGGGGGUGGGGAAGAGGAGUUUUCAGUUAGGGUUUUGAAAAGGGAAAGAAGAUGAAUAGUGGUUUUUUUAUAUAGGGAAGGGUCACACAGCCUAGGGCCACGCC